rnacentral:rRNA from 1 species
UGGGGAAUAUUGGACAAUGGGGGAAACCCUGAUCCAGCGACGCCGCGUGGGUGAUGAAGGCUUUCGGGUCGUAAAGCCCUGUCAGGAGGAAAGAAUGCUCCUAUGAUAAAUACUCAUAGGAAGUGACGGUACCUCCAAAGGAAGCACCGGCCAACUCCGUGCCAGCAGCCGCGGUAAGACGGAGGGUGCAAGCGUUGCUCGGAAUUACUGGGCGUAAAGGGUGCGUAGGCGGCCUUUCAAGUCCGGCGUGAAAGCCCAGGGCUCAGCCUUGGAAGUGCGCUAGAAACUGAAUGGCUAGAGUAUCGGAUGGGAGAGUGGAAUUCCUGGUGUAGCGGUGAAAUGCGUAGAUAUCAGGAGGAAUACCGGUGGCGAAGGCGACUCUCUGGACGAUAACUGACGCUGAGGCACGAAAGCGUGGGGAGCAAACAGGAUUAGAUACCCCCGUAGUCCCUGAGCGGGCUGGCAAGGCGCAU